UACGGAGGAUGCAAGCGUUAUCCGGAAUGAUUGGGCGUAAAGCGUCCGCAGGUGGCUAUGUAAGUCUGCUGUUAAAGAGUCUAGCUCAACUAGAUAAGAGCAGUGGAAACUACAAGGCUAGAGUACGUUCGGGGCAGAGGGAAUUCCUGGUGUAGCGGUGAAAUGCGUAGAGAUCAGGAAGAACACCGGUGGCGAAGGCGCUCUGCUAGGCCGCAACUGACACUGAGGGACGAAAGCUAGGGGAGCGAAUGGG
rnacentral:rRNA from 1 species